UACGUAGGUGGCAAGCGUUGUCCGGAUUUACUGGGCGUAAAGGGCGUGCAGGCGGUCUGUUAAGUUCAGGGUGAAAGCUCCCGGCUCAACUGGGAGAGGUCCUUGGAUACUGGCAGACUAGAGGUAGGUAGGGGAGAAUGGAAUUCCCGGUGUAGCGGUGAAAUGCGCAGAUAUCGGGAGGAACACCGGUGGCGAAGGCGGUUCUCUGGGCCUUACCUGACGCUGAGGAGCGAAAGCGUGGGGAGCGAACAGG
rnacentral:rRNA from 1 species